GGGGAUGAGCUGUGGGUAGGGGUGAAAGGCCAAUCAAACUCCGUGAUAGCUGGUUCUCCCCGAAAUGCAUUUAGGUGCAGCGUCGCAUUUAGCUUGGUGGAGGUAGAGCGACUGGUUGGUUGAGCGGGACUACAAUCUUAGCAAUGUCAGCCAAACUCCGAAUGCCAUCAAUUGUGUUGUGCGGCAGUGAGACUGUGGGGGAUAAGCUUCAUAGUCGAGAGGGAAACAGCCCAGAUCGCCGGUUAAGGCCCCUAAGGGUGUACUAAGUGGAAAAGGAUGUGGGAUCGCGAAGACAGCCAGGAGGUUGGCUUAGAAGCAGCCAUCCUUGAAAGAGUGCGUAAUAGCUCACUGGUCGAGUGGUUCUGCGCCGACAAUGUAGUGGGGCUCAAGUACACCGCCGAAGCCGCGGCAAGCAACAUACGUUGUUUGGGUAGGGGAGCGUCGUGCAUGGGUGGAAGCGUUACCGUGAGGAGGCGUGGACUGUGUGCGAGUGAGAAUGCAGGCAUGAGUAACGAAUUGUAAGGUGAGAAUCCUUACCGCCGGAUGACUAAGGGUUCCUGGGUCAAGUUCGUCUUCCCAGGGUGAGUCGGGACCUAAGGCGAGGCCGACAGGCGUAGUCGAUGGAUAACCAGUUGAUAUUCUGGUACCCGUACAUGUGCGCCCAUGAUAAAGCACGGAUACUAACCACUGCGGAUACGCUACCUGUUCACUUUUUUGAGUGUUGGUGGUGUUGAUGUCGUGGGGCCUGAUGUGUGGUUCAAGUGAUGGGGUGACGCAGUGAGGUAGCCGCGCCACUUAUUGGAUUGGUGGUGUAAGCGUGUAGGCCGUGUGGUAGGUAAAUCCGCCGCACUUUGUGGUUGAGGCGUGAUGCGUAGACCCUAAAAGGGUUGAUGGUGGUGAUCCUGUACUGUCGAGAAAAGCCUCUAGCGAGUGUGUGUAUGGCCCGUACCCUAAACCGACACAGGUGGUCAGGUUGAAGAUACUAAGGCGUUCGGGUGAACUGUGGUUAAGGAAUUCGGCAAAAUGCCCCCGUAACUUCGGGAGAAGGGGGGCCCUGUGACGUGAAGACCUGUGCGGUUGGAGUGUUGUGGGGUCGCAGAGAAUAGAGGGAAGCGACUGUUUAUCAAAAACACAGGUCCAUGCGAAGACGUUAAGUUGAUGUAUAUGGACUGACGCCUGCCCGGUGCUGGAAGGUUAAGAGGACCGGUUAGUAACCUUUGUGGUUGCGAAGCUGAGAAUUUAAGCCCCAGUAAACGGCGGUGGUAACUAUAACCAUCCUAAGGUAGCGAAAUUCCUUGUCGGGUAAGUUCCGACCUGCACGAAUGGCGUAACGACUUCUCUGCUGUCUCGACCACAGGCCCGGUGAAAUUGCAUUACGAGUAAAGAUGCUCGUUACGCGCGGCAGGACGAAAAGACCCCGGGACCUUCACUAUAGCUUGGUAUUGGUGUUUGGUUCGGUUUGUGUAGGAUAGGUGGGAGACGUUGAGGCUAUCACGCUAGUGGUGGUGGAGUCGUUGUUGAAAUACCACUCUGAUCGGAUUGAGCAUCUAACCUUGGCCCAUGAUCUGGGUUGGGGACAGUGCCUGGUGGGUAGUUUAACUGGGGCGGUUGCCUCCCAAAAUGUAACGGAGGCGCCCAAAGGUUCCCUCAGCCUGGUUGGCAAUCAGGUGGUGAGUGUAAGUGCACAAGGGAGCUUGACUGUGAGACAGACAUGUCGAGCAGGGACGAAAGUCGGGACUAGUGAUCCGGCACCUACUUGUGGAUGUGGUGUCGCUCAACGGAUAAAAGGUACCCCGGGGAUAACAGGCUGAUCUUCCCCAAGAGUCCAUAUCGACGGGAUGGUUUGGCACCUCGAUGUCGGCUCGUCGCAUCCUGGGGCUGGAGUCGGUCCCAAGGGUUGGGCUGUUCGCCCAUUAAAGCGGCACGCGAGCUGGGUUCAGAACGUCGUGAGACAGUUCGGUCUCUAUCCGCCGCGCGCGUUGAAACUUGAAGAAGGCUGUCCCUAGUACGAGAGGACCGGGACGGACGUACCUCUAGUGUGCCAGUUAUCCCGCCAGGGGUAUCGCUGGUUGGCUACGUACGGAAGGGAUAACCGCUGAAAGCAUCUAAGCGGGAAGCCUGUUUUAAGAUGAGGUUUCUUUU
rnacentral:rRNA from 1 species